rnacentral:rRNA from 1 species
AUGGCUCAGGACGAACGCUGGCGGCGUGCCUAAUACAUGCAAGUCGAACGGUCUUUCUAUGGAAGCUUGCUUCCACUGAAAAGAUAGUGGCGAACGGGUGAGUAACACGUGGGUAACCUGCCCAUAAGAGGGGGGAUAACAUCCGGAAACGGGUGCUAAUACCGCAUAGUUUUCUUGAUCGCAUGAUCGGGAAAGGAAAGACGGCCUUUGUGCUGUCGCUUAUGGAUGGACCCGCGGCGUAUUAGUUAGUUGGUGAGGUAACGGCUCACCAAGACGAUGAUACGUAGCCGACCUGAGAGGGUGAUCGGCCACAUUGGGACUGAGACACGGCCCAAACUCCUACGGGAGGCAGCAGUAGGGAAUCUUCCGCAAUGGACGAAAGUCUGACGGAGCAACGCCGCGUGAGUGAAAGAAGGUUUUCGGAUCGUAAAACUCUGUUGUCAGAGAAGAACAAGUUGGAGAGUAACUGCUCCAGCCUUGACGGUAUCUGACCAGAAAGCCACGGCUAACUACGUGCCAGCCGCCGC